GAUGAACGCUGGCGGCGUGCCUAAUACAUGCAAGUCGAGCGAACAGAUGAGGAGCUUGCUCCUCUGACGUUAGCGGCGGACGGGUGAGUAACACGUGGAUAACCUACCUAUAAGACUGGGAUAACUUCGGGAAACCGGAGCUAAUACCGGAUAAUAUAUUGAACCGCAUGGUUCAAUAGUGAAAGACGGUUUUGCUGUCACUUAUAGAUGGAUCCGCGCCGCAUUAGCUAGUUGGUAAGGUAACGGCUUACCAAGGCAACGAUGCGUAGCCGACCUGAGAGGGUGAUCGGCCACACUGGAACUGAGACACGGUCCAGACUCCUACGGGAGGCAGCAGUAGGGAAUCUUCCGCAAUGGGCGAAAGCCUGACGGAGCAACGCCGCGUGAGUGAUGAAGGUCUUCGGAUCGUAAAACUCUGUUAUUAGGGAAGAACAAAUGUGUAAGUAUCUAUGCACGUCUUGACGGUACCUAAUCAGAAAGCCACGGCUAACUACGU
rnacentral:rRNA from 1 species